CCUACGGGAGGCUGCAGUGGGGAAUAUUGCACAAUGGGGGAAACCCUGAUGCAGCGACGCCGCGUGAGUGAAGACGUAAUUCGUUAUGUAAAGCUCUAUCAGCAGGGAAGAAAAUUACGGUACCUGAGGGAGAAGCCCAGGCCAACUACGUGCCAGCAGCCGCGGUAAUACGUAGGGUGCCAGGGUUAUCCGGAUUUACUGGGUGGAAAGGGGGCGUAGACGGGAGGGCAAGUCAGGAGUGAAAGGCGGGGGCUCAACCUGCGGACUGCAGUUGAAACUGUACGGCUGGAGUGAAGGAGAGGUAGGUGGAAUGCCUAGUGUAGCGGUGAAAUGCGUAGAUAUUAGGAGGAACACCAGUGGCGAAGGCGGCUUACUGGACUGUAACUGACGCUGAGGCUCGAAAGCGUGGGGAGCAAACAGGAUUAGAUACCCGAGUAGUC
rnacentral:rRNA from 1 species